GGCGGUGGGGGAGCUAUACAUGCAGUCGAGCGCAGGAAGCAGACGGAACUCUUCGGAGGGAAGUUUGUGGAAUGAGCGGCGGACGGGUGAGUAACACGUAGGCAACCUGCCUGUAAGACUGGGAUAACUCGCGGAAACGCGAGCUAAUACCGGAUAAUACUUAACAUCUCCUGAUGAUAAGUUGAAAGGCGGCUUUUGCUGUCACUUACAGAUGGGCCUGCGGCGCAUUAGCUAGUUGGUGAGGUAACGGCUCACCAAGGCGACGAUGCGUAGCCGACCUGAGAGGGUGAUCGGCCACACUGGGACUGAGACACGGCCCAGACUCCUACGGGAGGCAGCAGUAGGGAAUCUUCCGCAAUGGACGAAAGUCUGACGGAGCAACGCCGCGUGAGUGAUGAAGGUUUUCGGAUCGUAAAACUCUGUUGUCAGGGAAGAACAAGUCGGGUAGUAACUGACCCGGCCUUGACGGUACCUGACCAGAAAGCCACGGCUAACUACGUGCCAGCAGCCGCGGUAAUACGUAGGUGGCAAGCGUUGUCCGGAAUUAUUGGGCGUAAAGCGCUCGCAGGCGGUUCUUUAAGUCUGAUGUGAAAUCUUGCAGCUCAACUGCAAACGUGCAUUGGAAACUGGAGGACUUGAGUGCAGAAGAGGAGAGUGGAAUUCCACGUGUAGCGGUGAAAUGCGUAGAGAUGUGGAGGAACACCAGUGGCGAAGGCGACUCUCUGGUCUGUAACUGACGCUGAGGAGCGAAAGCGUGGGGAGCGAACAGGAUUAGAUACCCUGGUAGUCCACGCCGUAAACGAUGAGUGCUAGGUGUUAGGGGGUUUCCGCCCCUUAGUGCUGAAGUUAACGCAUUAAGCACUCCGCCUGGGGAGUACGGCCGCAAGGCUGAAACUCAAAAGAAUUGACGGGGACCCGCACAAGCGGUGGAGCAUGUGGUUUAAUUCGAAGCAACGCGAAGAACCUUACCAGGUCUUGACAUCCUUUGACCGCUCUAGAG
rnacentral:rRNA from 1 species